CUGGUGGGUGGGGGAGCCCGUGACGUGCUCGCUGGGGGCGCGGCUCGCGGGCCCGCUCGGGGGCCCCCUCCAUCCCUCCAGCGGGCUGGGCAAGGGCCCCGGGGAUGGCUGCAGGGGGAGGCAGCUUAGGCCGGGAGCCCAGACCGGGUGGCCGCGCCGGGGGCUGGGGUGGGAAGAGGCUGGGGCUCGGGCAGCGGGUCGGCUCCCAGCGGGGGGUGUCGGACCCCACCUGCGCCCUCCGCGCAGAACCUCACCUCCGGGGCUCCAGCGCCCGAACCCAGCGGGAUGGAGACGCUGCGCCGCGGCGGGUCGCAGCCCUUGUAGGUGGCACCGCGACCCCAGACAGGGAAACUGAAUCCGGGAGCGGGCUGCGCUUGGACGCUGUUGAGUCAGUUUCUCCCUGGCCCCUGAGCUAGCCUGGACUCCCCAGCACUGAGACUGCAGAUGUGCUCCACCACCCCUGGUUUCAGGGCUUUCAGCAUGCGGUACCUGGGGUUGAAUUUGGGUACUUGAGUUUUAUCAGACAGGCGCUUAGACCAAAGAAUGAACUAUCUCC